GGAGAGGUGCCAGAGUGGUCGAUUGGGGCUCCCUGCUAAGGAGUUGUACGGGUGACCGUACCGAGGGUUCGAAUCCCUCCCUCUCCGCCA
rnacentral:tRNA from 1 species